rnacentral:rRNA from 1 species
UGGGGAAUAUUGGGCAAUGGGCGAAAGCCUGACCCAGCGACGCCGUGUGGGCGAUGAAGGCCUUCGGGUUGUAAAGCCCUGUGAGGUGGAAAGAAGGGCCUAGAGGUUAAUACCCUUUAGGCUUUGACGGCACCACCAGAGGAAGCACCGGCUAACUCCGUGCCAGCAGCCGCGGUAAUACGGAGGGUGCAAGCGUUGUUCGGAAUUACUGGGCGUAAAGGGCGCGUAGGUGGUUGUGUAAGUCAGAUGUGAAAUCCUUAGGCUUAACCUGAGAACUGCAUCUGAUACUGCAUGACUCGAGUACAGCAGAGGGAAACGGAAUUCCUGGUGUAGAGGUGAAAUUCGUAGAUAUCAGGAGGAACACCGGUGGCGAAGGCGGUUUCCUGGGCUGAUACUGACACUGAGGCGCGAAAGCGUGGGGAGCAAACA